ACACCGCAUGAUGUUCAUGUAAAAGACGGCUUUUGCUGUCACUUUUGGAUGGGCCUGCGGCGUAUUAACUUGUUGGUGGGGUAACGGCCUACCAAGGUGAUGAUACGUAGCCGAACUGAGAGGUUGAUCGGCCACAUUGGGACUGAGACACGGCCCAAACUCCUACGGGAGGCAGCAGUAGGGAAUCUUCCACAAUGGACGAAAGUCUGAUGGAGCAACGCCGCGUGAAUGAAGAAGGCCUUCGGGUCGUAAAAUUCUGUUGUCAGAGAAGAACGUGCGUGAGAGUAACUGUUCACGUAUUGACGGUAUCUGACCAGAAAGCCACGGCUAACUACGUGCCAGCAGCCGCGGUAAUACGUAGGUGGCGAGCGUUGUCCGGAUUUAUUGGGCGUAAAGGGAACGCAGGCGGUCUUUUAAGUCUGAUGUGAAAGCCUUCGGCUUAACCGAAGUAGUGCAUUGGAAACUGGAAGACUUGAGUGCAGAAGAGGAGAGUGGAACUCCAUGUGU
rnacentral:rRNA from 1 species